GGCGCUUCGGUGUCUAGUGGCGGACGGGUGAGUAAGGCGUAGGAAUCGGCCCACGAGAGGGGGACAACCUGGGGAAACUCAGGCUAAUACCGCAUACGCUCGGGAGAGGAAAGCGGGGGAUCUUCGGACCUCGCGCUGGUGGAAGAGCCUACGUCCGAUUAGCUGGUUGGUAGGGUAAAGGCCUACCAAGGCGACGAUCGGUAGCUGGUCUGAGAGGAUGAUCAGCCACACUGGGACUGAGACACGGCCCAGACUCCUACGGGAGGCAGCAGUGGGGAAUAUUGGACAAUGGGCGCAAGCCUGAUCCAGCAAUGCCGCGUGGGUGAAGACGGCCUGCGGG
rnacentral:rRNA from 1 species